UUAAUUAUAGUUCUGUAUAGGAAAUGGGUAGAUCUGUGGAGAACAUAAACAUAUAACCUGUAUUGCCUACAAUAUUAUUAUUUAGUAUGCAAAUCGCAAACACGUCGCAAUAGCAUGGUAUGCGAGGUAGAAAAAAGGUUCAAAAACAAAAAAGGGAAAUUCGCACACAUAACAGCUGCUGGCGGUUGCACAAAUCCUGCAAAUUGCAUAUUAAGUAGGUAGUUGGGUAGGCUGAACACUUUCACGACACGUCACCCUUGGAUACAGACACGGUUUAGAUUGUACAGGGUGGUGGAAGGAAGGAUAGGGAAUUCCAAGAUUAACACCUACCAAAAUAAUAAUAUAAUGCAUUGAGUAGGUACAAUAAAACAAUUAUAUUACCUUUUUAAUAGUCUUUAGACGAUUCAGCAGCGGUUUCGAACGAUUUGUUGCGAUUCUGGUGGUCGGGGUUCACGUAUAGUCGUCACAGGACCCAACAGAAUAUUAAUAUACUGUUGGAGAAGAAAAACAAAUUACAAUUUAUUAUUAGUACAAUGUGCGAGAUUUAGUAAUAGUUAGGAAAAAAAAAAAAAAGUCUCAAUAAUUAUUACCUAUGUAAGCGUUUACUGCAGGGCGAAUAUAUUACGGCACUGCGCCACAAAGAUAAUCGGGUGUAGUAAACAAGGUGGUGUAGAACGUGAAAUAGAAAUAUAAUCGAUUUUCUUAUACGGGACAGAGACGUUAGGGAGCGCGACGUACCAACAGUAUUAGAACCGACGUCGCACACAGACACAGACGAGCACGCGGGAACAGUAUUUCAGGCACUGCCGAUGGUUAUGGCGUAUUACACUUUGAUGUGUGGGACACCUGUUGUGAACAAGCGUAGUGAAAAUAGAAAACCUGUUCCGCAAGACUUGACGUGUCUGUGUGCUGAUCGCCAACGACCGUUCACCGAGGAUGCGCGUAGCGAAUGAACGAGUAACAGCGUUUCGGUUUAGCUCUUUAACACGCGAGCUGCUGCCGCUUUGGGGG